CCUACGGGAGGCAGCAGUGGGGAAUAUUGCGCAAUGGGCGAAAGCCUGACGCAGCGACGCCGCGUGAGGGAUGAAGGUCUUCGGAUCGUAAACCUCUGUCAGCAGGGAAGAACGGUCACUGUGCUAAUCAGCAGUGAAUUGACGGUACCUGCAAAGGAAGCACCGGCUAACUCCGUGCCAGCAGCCGCGGUAAUACGGAGGGUGCGAGCGUUAAUCGGAAUUACUGGGCGUAAAGCGCUCGUAGGCGGUAUGUCAAGUCAAGGGUGAAAUCCCCGCGCGCAACGUGGGAACUGCCUUUGAAACUGGCAAACUGGGGUGUGUGAGAGGAUAGUGGAAUUCCAGGUGUAGGAGUGAAAUCCGUAGAUAUCUGGAGGAACAUCAGUGGCGAAGGCGACUAUCUGGCACAUAACUGACGCUGAGGAGCGAAAGCGUGGGUAGCAAACAGGAUUAGAUACCGUGUAGUC
rnacentral:rRNA from 1 species